GUUGUUUUAUUUAGUCUGAACUGGUGUUACAUGCCUGACAGAAAUACUCUGAAGCUGUGUAUCCGGAUGGAGAACAAUGUUGACGGCACUGUCACUGAAUAUUACUCCCGAUAUACACGGCGCAUCAUUACUUUGAGUGUCUAUUCUUAAGUCGUUGAAGCCUCCUUGGUACAUAGAAGUUUGAAGAUUGCACAUUAGCUAAUAUUUUUGAUACUAUCUUAAUCAUCUGAAGGCUGCAACAAUGAUCCAGCAGAACAAUAACAACAACUACCCAUGCCUGGAGAUGUCUGGCUCCCCCAGGGAGGUGCUGCAGAAGUGCCAAAGAAGCUAUCUUCCCUUCACAGGACGCUUGGAGCUUGGGGACAUGCCCUUAGUCAAGGGCCUUCGGGCCUGGGCUGCGUGCUCCAAGAACCGCAGGAGGGCAGCACCUUCCCCCAGGUCUCAAGGAACGUGCCCCAGGCCUGCAGAUGUCUACCCAGUGGGACAGUGGGGCAGGCUGGGUUAUGGUCUGGGACUACCGCUGGACUCCAACUAUGCCUCCAACCCUAGACAGACAGGCCUGGGGGCACUGGUGACUGUGGCAACAUUGAAGGCCUCUGAGGGAGGUGGUCAAACUCAGACACGUCUGUUCCUCAAGACGGAGGGUGGAAGGUGCCUCUACUCCACGGGCAGCCCAAGACCCUGCACUCAAGGUCUGGCCCCUCAGUACCCCUCCACGCUGGUGGGCAGCUGGCUGACGGAUAAAGUGGGAGGGGUCAGGGACUCCUCCAUGGUUGGGAAAAUGGGGGUGCGGGAUAUGGGAGGGGCCUCAGAAUUGUACCAAGUCAAAUCGAGGUCAGCCCGGAGGUGGAGGACGUCCUGCAAGCCUGUGGUUCCCAUCCAGGGGAGAACACUCCAGAGCACGGAGGAUUCUGGCGAGCGCACCCUGGAAGGGAGCCAGGAAAGCAGGGACAAAGGGGAGUUUCCCACAACUGGUCAGGACACUCCGAGUGGAAAACAAGACCGAGGGAGUACUAGAAGCCCCAAAUGCAGUCACGCUCAGACCAAGACCUGCACCCAGUAUCACGGGCGGCGAGGAGGACAGGGGAGCAGCGGGGGUCAGAGGGAAGCUGCUUCUGUAUGUGAGCAGGAUCGGUCGAGCCGCGUUGUGGAGGGGAUUAAAGACAAAGUGAAGGAUGGGACUGGUCUCACCCGGUCAAAGCCCUGUGACUCCUCCCUGCCUCCAGACAAUGCUGACCCAGAAAACUGCAGCAGUGACGUUGGGGACCGGGGAAAGCCAGACAGCCCACACGCACAGGAGGAGCUGCAUCCUGAAACCUCCCUGAACAAGGAGCACUUCCAGGACAAACUAUGUGAUACAGACAUGCAUACUGGAGGCAAGGAUGUAGCCAGUGGUAUCAUGAGACAUGUGGAAGACUUUGAUGGCAUGGUGGGUGCUGUGAUUGGGUUUGUGGAUCAUAUCAAGUCCGCAGAGUGUGAUUCUGAGAGUCUAGGGGGGAUAGCUGAGGGGGAGCUGCCCAACAGGUGGAUCGAUGUUCAAACCUCAGAGAGACACUGCUGCUCUGAGAGAGGCUGCCUCAAAGCCUGCUCCAUUCAACUACCCAGCCCAGCAGGGGGCAGCAUUUCAACUGCUACUGAUGAGACUGGCUAUGGUCAGAUAAAUCAGGAAAGGAAAUCAGAUAGUCAAUACAAUAAGCUUUGUGUGAAAUGUCUGCCAGAAGAAAAAUAUCCUGUGGCAGUGGAUAAAGAAGUAUUACAGAAAUAUGUGCAUGGCCUCUGUGAGGGAGAGGAGGGGAUCCAGUCAACAGCAUCAGAAAUUAGGGAACUCUGUGUGGAGCAUGGAGAGAUACUGCCUGAGGUCAGGAGCACAGACGAUGAGGCCAGGCUGGUAGGGGGAGACAUCACAUCCCAGAGAACUGAGCGAGGGCCUCACUGGGCAACGGAGGAGCAUGAGUCCGAGGAGACAUGUAGGACGGAAGAGAGGUGUUUUUCAGAUUUACCAGCUACCCUGACUGAGGACGUAGGAGGAGGAGGGUGGAGCGAGGCAGGGACUGGGCAGUUUAAUUCCAUUUUACGAGCCUCUGCUGCUGCUGGCCCUGCUACCUCUGUCACACACUCGCCGCCUAAUCCGGCCUCCUCAGGAGCCAUGGCAACAGGCCUCCCUGCUCCAAAUGGGGGGCAGACAGACGCUGGAGGUGGGGCUCUGGUGCCUCUGCUACGGAGCCCAGGGGAGCAGGAGUGGAAGAGGGGUUGGGACGAGAGCAAGGUGGCCGCCGACGAGGGGUUCCUGGAUGGGGGGCCGGAGGCGGAGGAUGACUUUGGGCUUUUCAUGCAGGCAGAGGAGCAGCCGCCCUGGGACGACCGCUUCACUGCAUCACCCCUAGUGCCUUCUGGGAAAAGUGAGAGUGUUGCACUUGAAAACCAUUCCAUCACCAACGAGUCUACCCAUUGGACCUCAGGUUGGACAGACGGCUCAUUCCAACAAUCAGAGGACGCCUGGACAGCCUUCCCAAAGGAUUCAGAGGGAGAGGGGCAAGACACAAGAGGACAGUGGUGGCCCACAAAUGCUGUGGAGAAGACAAGGGGCAGAUUCUCUGCCAAGCAAAAUGUGAACAAUGUGUUUGUGGAGUCCUUCCCGUCACUGUCUACUCCCCUGUAUGAUUGUGAUGCUGUUCCCAUGCUCAGCCAGCUCCUCAGAGGCAUCUUGGAUCAUGAAAGCUCUGCAGAGGAUCAUGGCUUACUUGAUGGGUUCCAUGACCUCAACAAGAUGUUUGGCUUUAAAUAUAAGAGGGCAAAUGCUGUUUCCCGUGAACGGCUUCUACAGUCUCUACAUUUGGGCCAGUGUAACACGGAAAAUAUGACUGGGCACCGAGCAGCCAACUACAGUCCCUCUCUUGGCCUCCCCUCGUCCAGUCAGCAUGCACAGGCCUGUGGGAAGAGACGGUUAUCUUAUGAUGUCAACAAGAGCAUCAUGGAAUAACCAAGAUUUCAACUUUCCCUGACUGUCAACAACACAUUGUCUUUACUAUGCCCUUCUAUGCCAAACCAGUAAUGGGUCACGGUCUUCAUCUCAAUGGGAGAAAUAACGAAACAUUUCACAAGAUUCAGAACUCAGAGGAUGAUCUCUCCUUGGACUGACUGGACCAGCUGACUAUAUGGUGACCCUUAAUAAUGCCCUGUUUUGCUUUACAUUCCCUGGAAUUGGAUCAAUAGAUGCAUACCUGUGACAAAUUGGACAAAAUUAAGCACAAAUUAUUAUUUUUGUCUCACAGAUAUUCCUAAAAUACAUGCAAAUGUUUACAUUCUAAUUAAUCACAUUCUUAGAGACUCAAUGAAAUAUGAAAGUAAUUUAUGUUUGUCAGGAGAAGUGGAUGUCUAUACCCCUACCCCCCCUUCGUUCACUCCCACCCUCUUUCCCACACACACUGACUAGGACACAAACACACACUAUCCUCUUCCAUCAUGUGGUCUGGCUCAACUGUGCCAGUGACAACUCUGGAGCAGAAUAUAUACUCUUGGUUUAGCUGACAUUGGAGCUCACAUGGAUCACAGCUCCUUUUCUUAUUAUCUCAGUAAAUAAUGACCAUGUUAACUGAAAUGAUUACCUUUUAAAUUGGGGUGUUUCUGGCUGUCAGAAUUACAUUGUUUUGUACAGGCAAAGAGAAAGUAUUAUUUUACCAGUACAAGUUUGUUUUAGAUCACAAAAAAUGCAAUCAUGUCAUAUUAAGAUUCCAUUUUUUUUUGGGGGGGGGGCUGUUUGAUGUUUGUCAUUUGUACAUAAUUCCAAGGAAAAAGACAGAUUUUCUGAGUUGUUCAAACUGAUUAAAAAAAAUAGAUUGUCAACUUGUUAAUUGAUGUAAUAAAAUGACACGGUGAUUGCUGUUUUCCAUCCUCAAAGCUUUUGCUAAUGUUAUUACUAUAUCAUUUCUAGAAGUACCUAAACGGUCAUCUUAUUUGGGUGUUUGACACAAUACUCACUAUAAACUAAACUAAAAUGGCAACAAAAUAGUACCCUACAGGCUACAUGUGUCAGUCAAUUAGAAUGGUGUACGGCGCUAGAAUAAAGUAUCACGGGUCAAAGGGAAACCACACUGGCAAAUCAACACUUACAAGUGACAAAAUGCUAUUCUCAGUUUAUGCCCACUCUAACCAUAUGGCCGAGUAUGUCCCCUACCAGAAUGGCUUAUUUGUGACUUCUCCAAUGAUGAUAACAGGUAAGGGGCCCAAGGGGAGGUCAUGUACUAGAUGCUGGUCAGGCCCGGAUUACCGAGCGAGCACGUUCCCCGAGGCCCCUAACCUCCAGUGGGCCCCCAACCGACUGGAGGGAAAUUUGCAUUAAAACUGCACAAUUUUCUCUCAGCCUCAUGGCAAAAUGUGAAGAAUAGCAUGAGAUGAGCUAUAAAACAGCACAUUUUUCUCUUUGUCCCAUGGCACAAUAUGUAGAAUUGCAGGAAAUUUGCUUUAAAACUGCAAAAUGACCUCUCAGCCAAAUGAUAAAAUGUGUACAAUAGCAUAAAAUUGCACAUUUUUUAUCUGCCCCAUGGCAAAAUGUGUUGAAAUGCAGAAAGUUAGCUGUUUUCCUAAAAGAAAAUCUGUUUUGGGGGCCCCGGGGUUUCAAAUGCAACAGUCCAGGGCUGUCUGUGGUGCUGAAUUGGUUAACGGGAACUUGCUGAGUCAGAGGCUCUGUUUUCACCAGAUAAUGUGGCAUUGAUCGUGUUAUUGUGAAAAUAUGUGAGUGGUCUUAGAUUACCUUUUGGCACGCUAUCAAAUAAAGUCAACAGGGUGU
rnacentral:lncRNA from 8 species